UACGUAGGGUGCAAGCGUUAAUCGGAAUUACUGGGCGUAAAGCGUGCGUAGACGGUUAUUUAAGUCGGGUGUGAAAGCCCCGGGCUCAACCUGGGAAUUGCAUUCGAGACUGAAUAGCUAGGGUACGGUAGAGGGAAGCGGAAUUUCCGGUGUAGCGGUGAAAUGCGUAGAUAUCGGAAGGAACACCAGUGGCGAAAGCGGCUUCCUGGUCCAGCACCGACGUUCAGGCACGAAAGCGUGGGGAGCAAACAGG
rnacentral:rRNA from 1 species